rnacentral:lncRNA from 1 species
CAGGAAGCCUGAACAGCAGCUUGUCUCUCCAGUAACAAGGUCACUCUCCAGCCCCAGGGAAUCUCUGACAAGAUGGCAUCUGUUCUCAAGUGGUUUGGAAAAGAUGAUGACAAGGAUAAACAGAAGGAAAAGGAACAAGGGAAAGUGAAGCAAGAUGAGGGCCAGAAAAAGAAGGACAAGGAAAAGGUAAAGCAGCCAUGCAGACUUUGUGUGAUGCCCUCUUUUUUCUGUUUGGAAUAGGCAAAUCUGGGAUCAGAAUUGCUUCAUUAACACCAAACCCAUCUCCCCAACUAUUCUCACCUCUUACCCUAGUGAAAUACGUAAGAAAUCCUUUCCUCUCCUUUGAAUGAUUGAUGUUACACUGAGUUUGGAAGAAACAGAGUCAACAUUUUCAUUGCAUCUUUCUGUAUUAGCAUUUUCUUCCCGAGAUCAUUUCUGCCGGUCACAUCCAAGAAGAGAAGCAAGCAGAGAAGCAG